rnacentral:piRNA from 1 species
GGAUAUGGGACUGGACUGCACUCUGCGGA